rnacentral:rRNA from 1 species
UACGUAGGGGGGCAAGCGUUGUCCGGAAUCAUUGGGCGUAAAGAGCUCGUAGGCGGUCUGUCGCGUCGGCUGUGAAAACACGGGGCUCAACUCCGUGCCUGCAGUCGAUACGGGCAGACUAGAGUUCGGUAGGGGAGACUGGAAUUCCUGGUGUAGCGGUGAAAUGCGUAGAUAUCUGGAGGAACACCGGUGGCGAAGGCGGCAUCCUGGACCAACACUGACGCUGAGGAGCGAAAGCCAGGGGAGCAAACGGG